AAAAAAAAAAACCAACUCACUUUUUGGCUUGCUUGGAGUACCUCAUGUUUAUCAACUAGAAAAUAUCUAAUAUCAAAAUACUCCAGUAUAUUCUUUCAAUAACUUCUCAGCAUGCAUGGUCAAUAGAAAUGUCAUGACCUAAAGCCCAUAUUCCUCUGCUUCAUUUGGUUUGCUAAUGUCACCGCCGGCCAUUUCAAGCUGAGUAACAACUUGCUGUUACAUGCACAAACUAAGGUCCUCUAUCAGGUGUCAAUCACUAACUGGAUGCUGAUAAGAUGUUCGGGGUGUGCUAAUAAUAGUAACUGUGUGAAAUUUGAGAGCUUUCAACAGCAGAUCACUGCUUUAGGAACAGAUGCAAAAUGUGGUCGCAAAUUUAAUUUAAGAUCAACGCUGCAUGUGUACUUUAUGAAGCAGAACAGAAAUAUUGUUUGGAAAUUGCAGUUGCAAACUUUGCAGGAUGCAUGCAUCAAGGUGAUGAUGAUUGGCAGUGACAAAAUAUUUUGCCUAUUGGAUUUAGAUUUGAAAUCACUGCAUUUGAAUUGUUUGCUGGUCUAGAGGAUGGGGAGCAUUAAUUUGGACAGAGCUUGAUCGGGAUGGAAGAUGCUUGAAGAUUAAGAUUCUAUAGAAGAUCUGGACAUCCCCCCCUGGGAGGAAAUCAAUGAGGCCACAGAAAAGUUCAAAAGCCAUCCAGCUAGUCACACAGUAUGAACAGAAGAUAAACAGAACAGAAGAUAAACCUUGAUUCAUGUCAACCAUGUAUCAAAGACCGAAUUAAGUGAAAGUGCUUUCUGGAAUAUGCAGCUCUACUUGGGAACUCCAUCCUGAAUUUGAUGGAUGCGAGCUUUAUGAUUUUAGUAAUUAUAAAAUCAUAUGCACUGAGACAAUUAUUAAUAUAGUAAAAUUUUUAAUUAUAUAAACAUCUAAUCCAAUUACAAACUAAACUUGAUAUUUAAUAUAAAAAGAAAUAUUAAAAUUGGUAUUCUUAAUUACAUGCCUAUGUAUUUUUAUUGAAAACAAUUAGUUAUAGUUUGAUCUACAAUACAAGAUCAAUUUUUGACACCAAUUAAUAUACAUGUAUUUGCCGCUUAAGAAAUACACAAGGGGCACCCAAAAAUGCCGCGAUAUAAAAUAUUAAAAAUUCAAAAUCUUUUUUACUUUAUAUCGAGUAAUCAACUUAGAAAAUUUUAGCUGAUCAUCAUCAGGACUGAGCGAUAGUCAAGUACUCGAGUACUUGUUAACAUCCUUAAUAUUUUCGUAAAGUAUAACAUGUUUAAAUGCCUAUUUAAUUUAAGAUUACCGGUAUUUUGCUUAUUGCUGUUUUUACUUUCAAAUGUAGGAAAUUGGAACAUUCUUCAGGUACCAUGUAAAGGUUUCAGUUAAAGAGAAAAGAGGAACGUUCCUCAAGAAUUUCCUCGUGAAGAUUUCAGUUGUAGUGAAAAGAGGAACGUUCCUCAGAUGACUUGUCAGGAUUUCAGUUGGAGUGAAAAAAGGAACGUUCCUCAGAUGACUUGUCAAGAUUUCUGUUAAAGUGAAAAGAGGAACGUUCCUCAGAUUCUUUGUGAAGAUUUCUGUUAAAGUGAAAAGAGGAACGUUCCUCAGAUGAAAUGUAGAGAUUUUAGUUUAGGUAAAGAGGAACGUUCUUCUGAUGCUUCAUAAGUUUUUAUAAGAAUAAGAGGAACGUUACUCAUUUUAAAUGUCUGUGUAAUGCAUUUAAAUGUCAAUGAUGCAGGAAAAUUCCAUGAACUUUGACUUGUAAAGGCUUAUUUUUGGCAGAAAAGGGUUUAUAUGGAUGCAGAUAUGAAAAACAGGGUCAAAAAAAAGGAAUUUUGAUUUUCCUUUUUUGAUUUGGAUUGUGUU